AUUGAACGCUGGCGGCAGGCUUAACACAUGCAAGUCGAGCGGGGGAAGGUAGCUUGCUACCGGACCUAGCGGCGGACGGGUGAGUAAUGCUUAGGAAUCUGCCUAUUAGUGGGGGACAACAUCUCGAAAGGGAUGCUAAUACCGCAUACGUCCUACGGGAGAAGGCAGGGGAUCUUUGGACCUUGCGCUAAUAGAUGAGCCUAAGUCGGAUUAGCUAGUUGGUGGGGUAAAGGCCUACCAAGGCGACGAUCUGUAGCGGGUCUGAGAGGAUGGUCCGCCACACUGGGACUGAGACACGGCCCAGACUCCUACGGGAGGCAGCAGUGGGGAAUAUUGGACAAUGGGGGGAACCCUGAUCCAGCCAUGCCGCGUGUGUGAAGAAGGCCUUAUGGUUGUAAAGCACUUUAAGCGAGGAGGAGGCUACUUUAGUUAAUACCUAGAGAUAGUGGACGUUACUCGCAGAAUAAGCACCGGCUAACUCUGUGCCAGCCGCCGCCGUAA
rnacentral:rRNA from 1 species